AUGGUGCCAGCGGCAUCAAAAAGUGGCAUGUCGUUGCAGUGUCCAAUGCUCACACGAAACAAUUAUGCUUCGUGGUCAUUGAGGAUGCGGGUGAUCCUGCAAGUACACAGUGUGUGGGACGCUGUCACCAAAGAUGAUGUAGACGAGCACAUGCAUAGACAGGCCAUUGCGGUCAUCUAUGAGGGUAUCCCCGAGGAUGUACUUCUAAUGAUGGCCGAGAAUGACUCGGCCAAGAAGACCUGGGAGGCUCUCAAGGUGAUACAUAUGGGCGCUGAGCGUGUCCAGGAGGCGAAACUUCAAACCCUGAAGAGUGAUUUCUAA
rnacentral:rRNA from 1 species